UGGGGAAUAUUGGGCAAUGGGCGCAAGCCUGACCCAGCAACGCCGCGUGAAGGAAGAAGGCUUUCGGGUUGUAAACUUCUUUUCUGGGGGACGAAGAAAGUGACGGUACUCCAGGAAUAAGCCACGGCUAACUACGUGCCAGCAGCCGCGGUAAUACGUAGGUGGCAAGCGUUAUCCGGAUUUAUUGGGUGUAAAGGGCGUGUAGGCGGGAGUGCAAGUCAGAUGUGAAAACUAUGGGCUCAACCCAUAGCCUGCAUUUGAAACUGUACUUCUUGAGUGCUGGAGAGGCAAUCGGAAUUCCGUGUGUAGCGGUGAAAUGCGUAGAUAUACGGAGGAACACCAGUGGCGAAGGCGGAUUGCUGGACAGUAACUGACGCUGAGGCGCGAAAGCGUGGGGAGCAAACAGGAUUAGAUACCC
rnacentral:rRNA from 1 species